AAGCAUUUAAUAUAUAGUAUAUAGUACAUGGAAUAUUGGACUUAGAAGACUUUGGGCAAAUCAUAAUUCUCUGAAUCUUAGUUUCCUCAUCUAUAAAAUGGGAUAUUGUACAAGAUGUCAUCCAGGAUGCCUUUAAGCUCUAAAUCUAUGAUCCUAUGAUCUUUUCAGUAUAAAGGUGGGGGACUAAGGAAGCAGAAUGAAGCAUAUACUGUCAGAUUUGAUGACAAAAUUUUACAACUCAGUGAUGAGGAAAACAAUGUUACUGACAGAGACAGAGAAAUUGGAAUGGGGAGCUGUUCUGAAAGCUUGCAAAUAAAUCUCCUGGCCUGGAACUUGAUAACCUGAGUGGGCUGAUAGGAUAAGCAAUGAGAUCAUCAUGGAUUGGACAGGAAGGGUAGGGGGAUGGCAAAGAAACCCUGAGAAUGGGAGGGGAAAAUAAGCAUCCAGUGAUCCCGUUACUGUAUUGUCCUCAGUUGCCGCA
rnacentral:lncRNA from 1 species